rnacentral:rRNA from 1 species
GACGAACGCUGGCGGCGUGCUUAACACAUGCAAGUCGAACGGAAAGGCCCUGCUUUUGUUGGCUGCUCGAGUGGCGAACGGGUGAGUAACACGUGAGUAACCUGCCUUGUACGUUGGGAUAACUUCAGGAAACGGUGGCUAAUACCGGAUAGGAGCGCCUGCUGCAUGGUGGGGGUUGGAAAGUUUCGGCGGUUGGGGAUGGACGUGGGGCUUAUCAGCUUGUUGGUUGGGGAGUGGCUUACGCAGGGUUUGACAGGUAGCCGGCAUGGGAGGGUGACCGGGGACAUUGGGACUGCGGUAGGGGCCAGAGUGCAACGGGAGGCAGCGGUGGGAACUCUUGCACAAUGGGCGGACGCCUGGUGCAGCGACGUCGGGUGCGGAAUCCCGGUCUUCGGGUUAUAAACCCCUUUCGGCUGUGACGAAGCGUGAGUGACGGUACUGGAUAAAGAAGCACCGGCUAACUACGUG